rnacentral:tRNA from 1 species
AGCUUUUAUAGUUUAAUAAGAACAUAGAUCUUGUAAAUCUAAAGAACUCAAAAGCUAC